GAGCAUCCAGUCCAUCGACGGGACAGGGGUCAGCCUGAUCGCUUCUUUGCAAGGCGAUGCUGUAGCAGUGUCUGGCCAGGGCUUGGUCUCCCCGGACCUCUCCGAUCCCCUGGUUGGUGGGGAACUUUAACUUCAAAUGGUAGGUUGAAACGACAGCUCGGAGAGCAUUGAGGCUGGGUCGGCCAAGGAUUGCAUUGUAGGCGAAUGGCGCCUUCACCACCAAGAAAUUCACCAGAGCCCUAGAUUGCUUUGGAUAUUGACCCGCGGCC
rnacentral:lncRNA from 1 species